GACGAACGCUGGCGGCGUGCCUAAUACAUGCAAGUCGAGCGAAGUUUUUCUGGUGCUUGCACCGGAAAAACUUAGCGGCGAACGGGUGAGUAACACGUAAAGAACCUGCCUCAUAGACUGGGACAACUAUUGGAAACGAUAGCUAAUACCGGAUAAUAGCAUUAACUGCAUGGUUGAUGUUUAAAAGUUGGUUUUGCUAACACUAUGAGAUGGCUUUGCGGUUCAUUAGCUAGUUGGUGGGGUAAAGGCCUACCAAGGCGACGAUGCAUAGCCGACCUGAGAGGGUGAUCGGCCACACUGGGACUGAGACACGGCCCAGACUCCUACGGGAGGCAGCAGUAGGGAAUCUUCCGCAAUGGGCGAAAGCCUGACGGAGCAACGCCGCGUGAGUGAAGAAGGAUUUCGGUUCGUAAAGCUCUGUUGUUAGGGAAGAAUGAUUGUGUAGUAACUAUACACAGUAGAGACGGUACCUAACCAGAAAGCCACGGCUAACUACGUG
rnacentral:rRNA from 1 species